rnacentral:misc_RNA from 1 species
AAAACCUUCAACAAGCUAUUUUGAUGGAGAGGGAAAAAGUUACACAAAUGCAGUGGGAAAUGGAGGAACUUCGUCACAAAUCAUUGGAAAUGGAGUUAAAAUUGAAGUCUAAAGAGGGUGAAAAUUCAUUUUCAGUGCCUACCAAAGAGUUUACCCUCCAGGAGAAAGUCGCCUUGCAAGAAGAGCUUGAAUCCACGAAAGAGCAACUA